GACGAACGCUGGCGGCGUGCUUAACACAUGCAAGUCGAACGGAAAGGCCCUGCUUUUGUGGGGUGCUCGAGUGGCGAACGGGUGAGUAACACGUGAGUAACCUGCCCUUGACUUUGGGAUAACUUCAGGAAACUGGGGCUAAUACCGGAUAGGAGCUCCUGCUGCAUGGUGGGGGUUGGAAAGUUUCGGCGGUUGGGGAUGGACUCGCGGCUUAUCAGCUUGUUGGUGGGGUAGUGGCUUACCAAGGCUUUGCCGGGUAGCCGGCCUGGGAGGGUGACCGGCCACAUUGGGACUGAGAUACGACCCAGACUCCUACGGGAGGCAACGGUGGGGAAUAUUGCACAAUGGGCGGAAGCCUGAUGCAGCAACGCCGCGUGCGGGAUGACGGCCUUCGGGUUGUAAACCGCUUUCGCCUGUGACGAAGCGUGAGUGACGGUAAUGGGUAAAGAAGCACCGGCUAACUACGUG
rnacentral:rRNA from 1 species